AGAUUGCAGGCUGCAACUCGCCUGCAUGAAGCCGGAAUUGCUAGUAAUCGUAGGUCAGCAUACUACGGUGAAUACGUUCCCGGGCCUUGUACACACCGCCCGUCAAACCAUGAGAGUUGGCAACACCCGAAGUCGGUAGUCUAACCGCAAGGAGGACGCCGCCGAAGGUGGGGUUGAUGAUUAGGGUUAAGUCGUAACAAGGUAGC
rnacentral:rRNA from 1 species